CCGUCGUAUGGUGACGCUGACAGAGAAAGCAAACAGCAGGGCACAAACCAUGCCAAAACCGAAUCAACGGAGUUUGCGUUCUGCUGAAGUGAAUGCUCCGGAGGAACCAUACGCAGUACGUGGAGCAAGCUCAAGGCAGAGUAAACUCCGUAAGAAAGUGAAACUUGUUACUGGAAGAUCUAAGAGACCUAAGGAUGAUGGUGAAAUCCUAGAUUCAAAGAAGAGGGAGUUUCGAGGAAGUAAUGUUACGCAAAUUGAUACGGACAAUGCCGUUGAUGUUGCUUAUAGUGAUAAAAAGUUGUACCUGAAAGAGAAGAGUAGAAGGGGGAAGGUAAUAUCGAAGACAAGAAAUGGAACUAUCUUCGAGCAGAAGAUUGAUGGUGAUAGGGGGUCUAGAAGGAUAAACAGGGAUCGAAAAAGGAAGAGAGCCUAUGCUGAUAUGGAUAAAAGUGAGGAAGAAAUGGUCCAGAAAAAUGUGGAGAUGCCCCGUAAAAAAGUUUUAUCUAAGAAACGGACUGAGCGCAGGGGUGAUGCCGCUAAAGAGAAGAACCCCGCGAGGGGGAAAUGUCAUGAUUUUCAGCAACUUGAGAAGGAAAAGGUCCUAAAAGGAGCAAAGAAGUACAGUGAAACCGAGUCAUUUGAUAACAAUGGCCACAAGAAAUCAAGAUCCAGAGUGAAUGCUGUAGGUAAAGUGGAAUAUGUUAAAAUCAGUAGUGUUGACGGUAGUUCAACAAGAAAAGAUGGUAGAAUCAAAUCUGACUCAAGGAAACAAUUGGAGCAGAAUCAUGACAGGCGUGCAGCUGAAUCUCUUAGAAAGUCAGCAAAGAAAAAAGUUAAUAACAAGAAAAGCCUUGCCGAUGAAUUGAUGGAAAGUAAUGAUUGGCCUAAGAAAAAGAAGCGAGUAAUCCGGAUAGAUCCUCAUGACAUUUCUAACAAGCGGCUAGAUGAUGGUAUAGUCACUGGACAUACCAAAGAGGAGAAAGAAGAUACAGAGAAAAAUAAAAGCACUGAAAUUUCAAAGAAUGCUCAGUUCCGUGCAAUAAAACCUAGCCCCUCUAUCCUCUCUUUUGUAGAAGAUAAUCUCUUGGGUCGGAGGCGCUUGAUUGAAUUACGCCGGGCAGGCUACAACACUGAACUUUCUGCCCCCUUGGACAAUAUCCCCUCCUCUACAAGCUCAGAAAGAGAACGAAUUGAAGAAUCGGUAUUUAGAAAUAAAUUGAGUUUUUUUGCUGCUGCAAAUGUUUCUUCGUCAUUUCCUCCUCCUGAUCUUCCUGAGAUUGCUUUUGCAGGGAGGUCAAAUGUUGGCAAAUCAUCUUUACUAAAUGCUCUUACCAGGCAAUGGGGUGUUGUGCGGACAUCUGAUAAGCCUGGGCUUACUCAGACCAUUAAUUUUUUCAAGCUUGGACCGAAGCUCUGCUUGGUUGAUUUGCCUGGAUAUGGCUUUGCUUAUGCAAAAGAAGAAGUUAAAGAAGCUUGGGAGGACCUUGUGAAGGAAUACGUAGCUACACGUGUUGGUAUGAAGCGAGUUUGCCUUCUUAUUGACACAAAAUGGGGUAUAAAGCCAAGGGACCAAGAGCUGAUCAAUUUGAUGGAAAGGUCUCAAACUAAAUACCAAAUUGUACUGACCAAGACAGAUUUAGUUUUUCCCAUUGAUGUGGCACGCCAGGCAAUGCAAAUUGAAGAGAGCCUCAAGGCAAAGAAGUCUGCAGUUACACCUGUGAUGAUGGUUAGUUCGAAGUCUGGAGCUGGCAUCCGAAGUUUAAGAACAGUUCUAACUAAGAUUGCUCGCUUUGCAAAACUCUGAAAGGUAGGUGAAAGGAAUUUUGACGACCAUUUUUGUGCAGUAUUGCCCUUCUACAGGUAGAUAAUGUGCAAGGUUCUGAACCUCAAUUUCUUUACUCCAAUUUGACCCUCGCCUAUUGACUGUUGGUUCUGUAAUGUCCUAAAUUUGGCUAUUGGUUGUUGGUUGGGGACACUGUCCAUCCUCAAUGUCAUAUGUAUUAGGCAGAUUGUACAACGGGACUCUGAAGCGGAGCCCGUUGUUUAGCGAGGAAAUUUUGUUUAGCAGCAAUAUGCACAAGUUGAAGGUUAUUGUAAGUUAUUCUCAAAUUGACCUGACUUAAAGUUGGGGGUCAUGCCGUCAUGGUAUCGAAUCCUUUUGAGUAGAAUGCAGGAAAAUUGCAUCAUUCAGCAAUAGUGACUUCGCCUUUGGGAAUGCUUAAAGACCGAGAGUGUACUUCAACAGUGAAAGAACCCAGCAAGCACACUGAGCCCGGAAGGAAGUUUGUUUGCCGCAGCAAGGCUUAAUUACAAGCAGUCAGGGGAGCAAUCGUGAUGGCCUUUUGGGUCUGCUUGGACAUGGCGAGCGGCCGCUAUCUCUGGAGGAAUUUGGUUUCAUCUCCUUCUUUGUCAUCAUCACCAUCACAAUCAUCUAUUAAGCGAUGCAGUUGAUAAUUCGAUAUUUC